rnacentral:rRNA from 1 species
UACAGAGGUCUCAAGCGUUGUUCGGAUUCAUUGGGCGUAAAGGGUGCGUAGGCGGCGCGGUAAGUCGGAUGUGAAAACUCUGGGCUCAACCCAGAGCCUGCAUCCGAAACUGGCGGGCUAGAGUUCUGGAGGGGGUAGCGGAAUUCCUGGUGUAGCGGUGAAAUGCGUAGAUAUCAGGAGGAACACCGGUGGCGAAGGCGGCUACCUGGACAGAAACUGACGCUGGAGGCGCGAAAGCUAGGGGAGCAAACAGG